UCUCUCAAAGUGCUACGAUUACAGACGUGAGCCACUGCGCCCAGCCUGCCAGUUGCUUUUCUUAACAUUAUGUGUUAAAUAUCAUUCGAUAUCAGUAGAUAUUAGCAUUUUAAUGUCUGCCUGAUGUCUUACUAUAUUGAUCUGUUAUAAUUUACCAGCCAGUCUCCCAAUGAAAGACAUUGUUUUUUCACUUAUUUGGCAGACAGAAACUCUAAAAAGAAAAUGGCAUAAAUGUUUGCAUUUUCAGAAAUAGAAUUUUGUUCUGUAAUUGUGAAACUCCAUCUCUUACCAGGUGGGUCUUCAAACAACUCUAUGAUAAAGGCCUUGUUUAUAGAGGUGUGAAAGUCAUGCCCUUCUCUACGGCAUGUAACACUCCACUUUCCAACUUCGAGUCACACCAGAAUUAUAAGGAUGUUCAAGAUCCUUCAGUAUUUGUAACUUUCCCUUUGGAAGAAGAUGAAACUGUAUCUUUAGUUGCUUGGACAACCACUCCCUGGACUCUACCUAGUAACCUUGCUGUGUGUGUUAAUCCAGAAAUGCAAUAUGUGAAAAUUAAAGAUGUUGCCAGAGGACGAUUACUCAUUUUAAUGGAAGCCAGAUUGUCAGCCCUCUAUAAAUUGGAGAGUGACUAUGAGAUCCUUGAAAGAUUUCCUGGUGCCUAUCUUAAAGGCAAGAAGUACAGGCCCCUGUUUGACUAUUUCCUGAAG
rnacentral:lncRNA from 1 species